GACGACCCUGUUCUCCAGCUGCUCUGCCAGUCCGCCCAGCCCAGAGCCACAGAUGAUGGCCAUUUUAGGACGCUGCUCUGUCUGGGAGCCCAACCAUUUGGCCGUAGCCUCAUAGUCCUCGUAACUGUGUGGAGUGCUGCCAGACGUUUUGCAGAAGAUGGAGGAGUUUCUUCGCUCAGCACCAAGACCAACGACAACACCAAUACCAACACCAACACCAAGACCAAGACCAAGACCAAGACCAGAACCAACACUAUCACCAGCACCAACAGCAGUUCCACCACUAGCAACCGAAGACCCAUCACCAGCACCAGGUCAUUCCAAAAGGACUUGUGGAGCGCUGCUCCUUCCAAAGCCCCCAGAACUUCAUAAAUGAUCUCCUACAUGGGAUGUAUACCAGGGAAUAUAUGGCAGGCCAUUCAGUGACUGGCCAGUCAUCCAGCAGCUGCACAGAAGGAAAACCUGGCCUAGCCAAACAGGACCUUGUUGAAAUAACAAAUGCUGCAGGGUUGAAGUUCACCUACGUAACUGAUACGAACAUAAAAGCAUUUAUACGACAAAAGCGAAACAAUGCUGCCAAAUUUCA